UACGUAGGCAGCGAGCGUUGUUCGGAGUUACUGGGCGUAAAGCGUGCGUAGGCGGUCUUGUAAGUCUGGUGUGAAAUCUCCCGGCUCAACUGGGAGGGUGCGCCGGAAACUGCAAGGCUGGAGUAUGGGAGAGGUAGGCGGAAUUCCUGGUGUAGCGGUGAAAUGCGUAGAUAUCUGGAGGAACACCGGUGGCGAAGGCGGCAUCCUGGACCGACACUGACACUGAGGAGCGAAAGCCAGGGGAGCAAACGGG
rnacentral:rRNA from 1 species